ACACAUGUGUACAAAAAAAUUCAACGCAAAUCUUUCUCAAUAAAGGGGGAUUGUAACCAUAUGCAGCUUUAAAACCUCUGAUGUUUACAGUUUUGAAGUGUUGGGGAUUAUGUUCCUGAACUGCUAACUGCACCAUAUUCAAAUUUUAAGGUGGAACUUUGUUUGAUGAAUAUUAAUUUGAUUUCACAAACUUAAUAUACGUUAAAACUGCAAGAACAAGUUCCUCAGACUUGGUAAACCUCAGGAACAUUUUCAGUUUUCAAUGCUUUCUUGGUGGCCAUCACAAAUACGCUAACAUGAGCAUUAUACUUGCUAUGUGUUUUCACUUGCAUUAUCAAGAUAGUGAUCAAGAAUAGCAUUUCUUAACUUUCAUGUGAGAAACAAAAAUGGGGAAAAAAUUUGCAUAACAUAGAGCAAAGAAGUGGAUGCAUUUGAAUGUUUUUUCCUUCUAAAAAUUUCAUCUUAAACCACUUUCAGUGACUAGGGUAGAAUGUAAGAUCUAACAAGAAGGCGAUGAUGAUAAUAGUAGUAAUAAAAAUAAUGAAUCUGUUAUAUAAUCCUUGCAUUCAUGCUUUGUUUCUCUAAGUGUUUCGCGAAUUAGAGAUUGCUGUUCUUCACCAAUGCAUCUAUUUGGAUGUUGCAGGGAUUGAGAUGUCCAUUGGUGCGAAAAAGUAACUUGUGAAG
rnacentral:misc_RNA from 1 species